rnacentral:rRNA from 1 species
UACGUAGGGUGCGAGCGUUAAUCGGAAUUACUGGGCGUAAAGCGUGCGCAGGCGGUUCGUUAAGUCAGAUGUGAAAGCCCCGGGCUCAACCUGGGAACUGCAUUUGAAACUGGCGGGCUUGAGUGUGGCAGAGGGGGGUGGAAUUCCGCGCGUAGCAGUGAAAUGCGUAGAUAUGCGGAGGAACACCGAUGGCGAAGGCAAUCCCCUGGGCCUGCACUGACGCUCAUGCACGAAAGCGUGGGGAGCAAACAGG